AUCAACCAAACGGACCUCAACAGAAAAACACAGCAAGGCCAUAGCUGGCAAAUGCCAAAUUAGGCAUGGUUUUUAGCUUUUUCCGCGCCUUCAGCCUUUGCUUCACCAUUUUGGGCAAAGAAGUUAUUGUUCUUGUCUUCUUCCAUCAGAAAAAGCUUUCAACGGUAUUCAAGUUUGAAAUUCAAGUUGAAAACGAAAUUAAAAAGUGGGGCAUGUCGCACAUCGUUGGUUGACACAAGUUUGAACAUUUUUGGGUUCUAUAAAUAGAACCCAUUCCCUUCAUAUUCAAAGAGAGAGUUCAGAGGUCAAAAAAUUGGUCUUUACACCUCAAAUAGGUUUUUGACAAGCCCAAGAGUGAGAACACUCAGAAACCCUGCUACACCGUUGAGUUUUGAGAAGUUCUCGCUCAAGUUUAAUUUUUGGAAGUCGUUUCCUUUCGUCGAAAAUCGAUUCGGGUGAAAGGUAGUUCGUCGUCAACUCUCGUCGCCCCAUCACUGCUCUCAAAAAUGUAAUCCUCAACCCUUUUCCUUUAAAUUUCUGUCUUUAAAUCCGUAUUGGUGUGUUUUUAUUAUUGAGUAGUUAUUAAUGAGUGAUUACCGUGUUUGUGGUUUUUUUGUUUGGUGUUGUUAUAGGUUAGUUACUAUUAGUAAAUAUUGAUUCUAUUUAACUCUGGGCAUUAUAUACA